CCAUAUGAGUAUACGUGGAGCAAAUCAAGCAAACAAAAUCCUCAUCUCACAAGUCAAAUCCAGCUGAAAGCUCUAAAACACUUCAGCUAUUUUGCUUGCUAAAACACGUUCCCUUCUUUCAAUGUAUCCAAAUGGGAACCAACCUGCUUUCCCUUUGCAUUCUGGCCCAGCCAUUAUUUGUAAGCUUUCGAACAACAACAUAAUCACCAACUGUUAAAGUCAGCUCCACGUCAGAUUCAGCUUGAUAAGAAUGCAUAACCUCUCCCAAAAAGUAACCCAUGCUGUCUGUUGAGCCAUUAUGUGAUUGAGAAGCAUAUACACCAUUUACUUCUUCAUAUGAAGGCGGUGGUGGCAUGUUGUUCUCAGUACUUGGAGCAGGAGGUGCUUCAAUUCGUUGUCGUUCAGAUAUCAUCUCAUUUUCAA
rnacentral:misc_RNA from 1 species